CAGUACAGAGCGGUCAGUCACAGUCACUGGAUUCGCCCAGUCCACAGAUGAAUGACAAUGCCUUCUCAAAAAAGAAGGCAGAGACAGAGAGAGAAAGAGAAGAGAAGCUGCUAAAGGCAGUGGAACCUUGUAUAGCUGGUUUCAGACCUCCAGCAAGCCAGCAGGAUGAGGCAGAGGGAGACUCAGAGAGUGAGGGAGAGUCCACUGAUCAUCAGCCAGAGCAGGCAGUUACAGGUAAGAUAACUGUUUGACCAUCAC